AGCUGACGCACAGGAGUUCUUCACUGGCAAGCUUUAUGUUCCUGUACACAUACUAAAGCUGCCAGCUGAAGAACUGCUCUGCUCAGCC
rnacentral:pre_miRNA from 13 species